UGUACCAUGCUGGUAGCCAGU
rnacentral:ncRNA from 4 species